AAGCCAUUUCUCAGAUCAAAUUGAUAAGGCACUUAAUUAUGAUCAAAAUUGUAUCCGUAUAUGCAUCUUCGUAUGCAUAAAAGGUACGUCCGAAUAUGCAUCUCCAUAAAUACUAUUUAAUAAACAAUUAGUGGAUGGUUUGGAGAUGUAUAUUCAGACACUUUUGUUUCAUACCCUCGCGUAUAGACCCUUUCCUUUCCUCCUUCUUCAUUUUCUAAAAACUUCUCAAAACAAAAUAUUCGAGCCCUCAAGCAUUCAAACUUCUCAUCCAUUUAUUCAAGUUUCUACCAUUUGAGCUUUUUCUCCUCCUUUCCAACAACUCAUACAUUCAAGCUUCUAUUUCUUAUGAAUUUGAUUCGGUACAUUAUAUAGCAGUGUAAACAAAAUUGGUAGCCUACAACAACAACAUGCAUUGACAUAUUUUUGGAGGGUUAGGGAAGCAAUGACGUUUCUGCCAUAGUUGAGAAUCACAACUUUCUUCGGAGAUGCAUCUUUUAACACAUGUGCAAUGGUUGGAAAUAACACUAGUAGAAUUACGCUCGGUCAUGUGUCCCAAACCGCGUCGAUACAAUGUGAAAGGCUGCAGUCAGGACCACGAGGUCACAAGUUGAUGAUAACUCGUUGGAUGGUUUGCAACACCGAGGUUCUAAACCAUUUGAUUAUACUUCUCAUAGCUGCCUCUCUCAGGCAUCUAAUUCACAGGGCCACGAGUCCUCAGAUGAUGCAGCACAACAUGAAGUCCCCAAAACCCCUGAAGCCUAGGAGAAAGCCAUUGUCGAUGGCCCUUUAUAGAGUCAUACAGGAGGCCCAUUUGUCACUUCUUUAUUUCAUGUCUAUGCAGAAUAUGCUUCUAGGAAUGAUUGGAAAUUAGAGGAGCGUACGAGUUUAAAAUCGGUAAACCAUGACAUGGAGAUACUAGAGUUGAAACAACACACUGUUGAUUGGGUUGUUGAUGUUAUCCACUAUUCAGAUCUUGUCGAUUUAUGUUCUGCUGCAUACAUGACCAUAAACCACGAUAUACAUACGAAUUUUUCAGAGAGGUGGCAUUCAAAGACGUCAUUUUUCCACCUGCCUAUAGAUAGGAUGACCAUCACCUUGGAUGACAUCUUCUUAUAAGGAUAUGAUUAUUAGGCAACGGAAAGAUCGAUCGAGAGGAGGCCGUUGAAAUGAUGGUCACCCAUUUAGCGGUUGACCCAGCUAAGGCCUCAAAGGAGGCAACUGACACACGAGGUACUCAUGCAAGAUUUAGUUUUUUGGAAAAGCUUUAUAAAGAAUAUUUGUAGUGGCCCAUGGAUGUCGAAGGUGAUGAUGUGUAGGUUGAGUACCACCGGCAGUGUGCAUUGAGGUAUUACCUCUUGUUCCUGGUUGGCAUGUUCAUGUUUGUGGAAAAAAGUGCAACAUAUAUCUAAGUGAUCUACCUUAAGUACUUUAUCGACUUAACAACGAUUUAUGAGUACAAUUAGGGGGCGCCUAUUUGGUAUACAUGUACUCAAAACUAGGCGAUGGUUGUUUGUGAAAGACAAAGCAGAUGACAGGGAGUUGCACGUUACUUACGAUAAUUUACGGUUACUAAUAUUUUCAUAAUUCGUUUGUUACACCUAUUAUUAAUAUUGUAUAUGAACUAUUUUCAGGGAUGAAUCAUCUCCCAUCUCCCUCGUAUCACCGGGUGGAAAAUUUUGUUUUCCCACAAUGAGGAUUGACCACAUGCUGCUUCAUUUACCCCGUACAAGGGAAAUAAUACAGUCGAGCCAUUCAAAGUGUAUCUUGAUUAUCAUGUGCCAAAUGAUGUUUUCUUCUGCUCAUACAAGGGUCACCGCGAGACACGUUUGUUGGAAUUCAUCGCCUGAUACUCCAGAUGG